GUAGGGAAUAUUGGACAAUGGGCGAAAGCCUGAUCCAGCCAUGCCGCGUGAUAGAUGAAGGCCCUCUGGGUUGUAAAUAUCUUUUAUCUGGGAAGAAACUCCUCUAUUCUUAGAGGCCUGACGGUACCAGAGGAAUAAGCACCGGCUAACUCCGUGCCAGCAGCCGCGGUAAUACGGAGGGUGCAAGCGUUAUCCGGAUUCACUGGGUUUAAAGGGUGCGUAGGCGGGUUGAUAAGUCAGUGGUGAAAGCUCCGGGCUUAACUUGGAAACUGCCAUUGAUACUGUCAGGCUUGAAUGUCGUAGAGGUAAGCGGAAUGUUGCAUGUAGCGGUGAAAUGCUUAGAUAUGUUACAGAACACCAAUUGCGAAGGCAGCUUACUAUGCGAUAAUUGACGCUGAGGCACGAAAGCGUGGGGAGCAAACAGGAUUAGAAACCCGGGUAGUCC
rnacentral:rRNA from 1 species